CUCGUACACUUCCUGGCGGCCCAUUUCUGGUUGGACUCACGUGAGACGUAGCUCGUAGCUGAUUUCAGUUGUUACCGACGACCAUGUGCAGCAGCAACAGUAAUGUUUUUUCUGGGGACGAGGUGAUGCAAAACUACGAUCUAAUGGACGAGUUCUUGGUUUUCCAUCCACCUCGUACACAAGAACAAUUUCCUUCAUGUCCCACACCGGAACCGUUGUGGGACAAGGAGUCUACAUUGAAAUUAAUUGAAUUCUAUAGAAUUCAUCAUGAACGGCUCGGUAAGAGCCGUGAUCUGAAGAGAAAGCAGCAGUUAUGGGACGCGAUGUCCACGUAUAUCACGAAAGCGCUGGGAAAGACGUUCUCGCCCGCUCAAUGCGAAAACAAAUGGCGAUGUUUGCUACGUUCUUAUAAGGGCGCAGUGGACAAUAACAAAAAGUCGGGGAGAGGUCGGAAAGAUUUCGUGUAUAUGAAGGAAAUGGACGAAAUCUUCGAAAAAAAAGACCAACAUUUACCUGUAGAUUUUGCUUGAUGGUGCAAACGUUGUGGCGGAGGCAGCGACCACUGACCAACCCAGCGACCAGGCUGUUCCAGGUCCAUCGGGAUACUCGACGAAGGUGAGCUAUAAUGGACCCUGUAGUAGAUGUCAGGUUGCGACAUCCGUCGGUGAUGGAGUUCUUCUUCAAGACCAGCGAUGACAUCGAUUCACAGGAAGUUGCUCCCUGUUUAUGGAUGCUGCAGCAGAUAUGCACCAAUAUGCGGAAUGCUGACAAUAACGAAAGGACCGUCACACAGCAGAUGCCAUUUCGCAUUGCACCGCUGAAGAGCAGACGACUUAUGAUGACAUAACAACAAGCGACAGCAUGAAGAUGAAGAACGCAGGAGCAGAGAAGGCUGUGAGACGAAGUCAGCCAAUAGUCUGCUGACUAGGACCACGUCACAACCGGACGGCCUCUAUCCGAAGAGAAUAUAAGCGCCACUCCAGCCAGCCUUGGCCGGACGGUAGAAAAUGGACACCAGUAGACCUGGACAAGAAACCACAUUGUACAUAGCAAAAGACAUUUAUUAUUUGCAUGUCGCCCAAUGAUUUUGACAACUCGUUGUAAACCAAAGUAUUAUCAAUCUACUUUAUUGUAAUGGAAACCAUUAAUGUGAUUUGCUUGAAUUGUUGUGUAGCUAUCUGAGAAGGCAGCACCCUUUAGUCAUCCUAUAACAGUGUAGCCAACUUAAGGGUUUUCCCCCCAAAUUUAGGUGGAAGAUAGAUGGAAAGGGUUUCUUUGUAGGGGCUUCAUUUUUAUGGGAGAAUUUAUGGGGGCACUCUGAUAGAAAGACAGAAAGUGUGCGCGAAUGACAGCAGUUGAGAUCAUGGAAACUAAAGCAAAGGAGUGUGCACAGCAUGCUUCAGCACUGGACACGAAAUGCCUACCUCUUGUGGUCGGCAACAUCUAAGACGCAUAUAUAUUAAGACGGGGCUAUGAUGGGAAAGGUUUACUCUAUCUCCAAGGCAACGGAAAAGAGCUUCGUACCGCGCAAGCGCUGAACCGUAUUGUACUGCUAUUGGUGGAUGUUGCCCAUCUUCGCGCUGCUCGCGGCAGAACACGGAACUAUCGAAAGAACGGAUUUCCAGUAUACUGGUGCCACGUAUUCUCCUGUCCUGUGCACACUACUUCACUCUAGUCUCCUUCAUUCCAUUCUACUCUUUAAAAUCACAAAGUAAGUUAUAAUUGUCUUCCUAAUGUACCGCGAAAUGAACAAGAACAUCAAUGAAUAACAAUUGGUGCUUAUAUUCAUUCUGGAAUGCCAAAAGAAAACACGAAACGAUAUCAACAAAAAUAUGUGAAAUGUUGGGAGACGGAUACAGAACUCAAAGGUUUGCAGCCAAGCAUUUUUUUAAUUGGUAUAAAAAUUGUACAUAAUAUAUCGCAUUCU